rnacentral:rRNA from 1 species
GACCGUGCAAAGGUAGCAUAAUCAUUUGCCUUAUAAUUGAAGGCUUGUAUGAAUGGUUUGACAAGAAUAAUUCUGUCUCUUUACAAUUAAAUAUAACUUUAUUUACAGGUGAAGAAGCCUGUAUCGGAUUGAAAGACAAGAAGACCCUAUCGAGCUUGAAAACAAUUAAUGAGCCCAAAUCAUAUUAAUACCGAAUAGUUUGUUAAAAAUUUUAGUUGGGGCGACAGAGGAACAAACAAAGCUUCCUUAUAUUGAGAAAACAUACAAGUGACGAUCCAAGUAUUUUGAUUAAAGGAAUUAGUUACCGUAGGGAUAACAGCAUUAUCUUUUUUAAGAGUUCAAAUCGAAAAAAAGGUUUGUGACCUCGAUGUUGGACCAGAAUGUCCUAAAGAUGCAGCCGUCUUUAAGGGUUGGUCUGUUCGACCAUUAAAAUUCUACGUGAUCUGAGUUCAGACCGGCGUGAGCCAGGUCAGUUUCUAUCUUCAGUUUAUUUGUGUGGGCUUAGUACGAAAGGAUCAGCCUAUAAUAAUAGUUAUUAUGCUUGAUACAGUAUAAAGAAAGUUUAAUAAGUAAAAACUUCUUAUAAAUCAAAUUAGCAAAGAUAAUGCAAUUGACUUAGGAUCAAUAGACAUAGGUGAAACUCCUUUAUUUGAUACACUAUAAAGAUGGCAGAUAAA